CCUACGGGAGGCAGCAGUUGGGAAUAUUGCGCAAUGGGCGAAAGUCUGACGCAGCGACGCCGCGUGAAGGAAGAAGGCUUUCGGGUUGUAAACUGCUUUUCUCAGGGACGAAGCAAGUGACGGUACCUGAGGAAUAAGCCACGGCUAACUACGUUCCAGCAGCCGCGGUAAUACGUAGGUGGCAAGCGUUAUCCGGAUUUACUGGGUGUAAAGGGCGUGUAGGCGGGACUGCAAGUCAGAUGUGAAAACCAAGGGCUCAACCUGUGGCCUGCAUUUGAAACUGUAGUUCUUGAGUACUGGAGAGGGCGACAGAAUUCCUAGUGUAGCGGUGAAAUGCGUAGAUAUUAGGAGGAACACCAGUGGCGAAGGCGGUCUGCUGGACAGCGACUGACGCUGAGGCGCGAAAGCGUGGGGAGCAAACAGGAUUAGAUACCCCUGUAGUC
rnacentral:rRNA from 1 species